rnacentral:rRNA from 1 species
GUGUCAGCCGCCGCGGUAAUACAGAGAGUGCAAGCGUUAAUCGGAAUUACUGGGCGUAAAGCGCGCGUAGGUGGAUUAUUAAGUCGGAUGUGAAAGCCCUGGGCUUAACCUGGGAACUGCAUCCGAUACUGGUAAUCUAGAGUAUGGUAGAGGGAAGUGGAAUUUCCGGUGUAGCGGUGAAAUGCGUAGAUAUCGGAAGGAACACCAGUGGCGAAGGCGGCUUCCUGGACCAAUACUGACACUGAGGUGCGAAAGCGUGGGGAGCAAACAGGAUUAGAGACCCUGGUAGUCCACGCUGUAAACGAUGAGAACUAGGCGUUGGGAGGAUUCCUCUUAGUGCCGAAGCUAACGCGUUAAGUUCUCCGCCUGGGGAGUACGGCCGCAAGGUUAAAACUCAAAUGAAUUGGCGGGG